UAUGUCUCCCCAGUGCCUCUCUCGCUCCGCACCGUUCUUCGCGCUAGUGGCGGGGCUUCUCUCCCGCGUCUGCUGUGGUAGACGUUUCUUUGGAUUUCCUCAGCACUCUCUGUUUUUCACGCCUGUGGGAUUAGACUGAGCAGAAGAAGAAGGUUUGUCUGUCUUUUUGGGGACGAGCGGACAAGAAUGCAGCAGAUUCCUCAGACAGAAGCAAGCGCCAAUCUGUAUAUGUUUUGGGUUGGUAGUAAAACCAAAGAGGUAGCAAGACCCCAGACUGUGUUGGAGUGAGAUGCACUGACUCCUGGCAAACUGCAGCAUUCCUUGUCAUCCUCCGCUCUCUUCCGAGGCUUUGGCCAGUCAUGCGGUUACUACGGAAAAUCCUCAUCCUUUUGGGUGCUUGCCUUAAUAUGAGCUGCAGGUAUCAGAGUAAUGCCCUGGAUAUUC